rnacentral:lncRNA from 1 species
AAUAUAUAUGUUUUUCAGUCACAUAUAUAUUCUCUGCAUUUAUAUUUACAUGUUAUAUGAAGAAUAGUAAAUUAAACGUUAUAACAUGAUGGUGUGUGGGCAUGGUGUAUAUGUAGCGAUGACAACGUGACAUGGGGUUGUUGGGUGCAUGUCUUAUUGAAGCAUGCGCUUUAAUAACUCAUGAUAGUAGCAUGAAUAUCAAAAUAUGAAGCGUGCGCAUUUGAUUUUACUAACGUACCCAAUUUAUCAACCCCUU